rnacentral:rRNA from 1 species
UACAGAGGGUGCAAGCGUUAAUCGGAAUUACUGGGCGUAAAGCGCGCGGAGGUGGUUUGUUAAGUUGGGUGUGAAAGCCCCGGGCUCAACCUGGGAACUGCAUCCAAAACUGGCCAACUAGAGUACAGUAGAGGGUGGUGGAAUUUCCUGUGUAGCGGUGAAAUGCGUAGAUAUAGGAAGGAACACCAGUGGCGAAGGCGACCACCUGGACUGAUACUGACACUGAGGUGCGAAAGUGUGGGGAGCAAACAGG